CUCUUUGCUUUCCUUCACCGCAAGUGCGCGCAAGACAUACACAGACGAGCAAGAAUAACCACCCUCGCUGAUUUCAACAGGAGCAAGUGACACACACGCGCCAGAUGCGUUCACUCGAGAACCGAGAAGACUUACGAGACCUCUCUGAUCACAACAUGCCAGCAUAAAUAUGACGUUUUGUGCAACGGCACAGCUCCAGCCCUGCAGUUUGCCGAGAAAAACGGCGAGCCUCUCUGCGCUUAGCAUCGUGCGCCGCCACCUCCGAACAACUCGCGCUCCUUUCUGGCAGCCCUUGUACUUUUCCCUGCCACCCCAGUCUCAACGUCCGCUAGCAACUCCUCAGAUAGACGAGAAGUCGGUACUGUGAAAGUCCUGUCUAGGCGCCUCGAACAGUAUCAGCGCUCGGCGUUCCUAGUAGAUGCCACCUAGUCCGUAUAAUCUUGUGUCUUUUUUUUUGCUUCAGUGGUGUGGGGUGCAUUUCAAAAGCAGCAUUUCCGCACUCCCUGCGUCUUCAAGACGCAAAAGACAAAACCAUCGAUGAUGCUCUUGCUGUUGGGCCUCCUUCCAGUGGAAUUGUUUUGCUUUCUUGACUCUGUCACAAUGGGGUUCGCUGCAUGUAACGGCAAAAGGAAAACAUCACCGACUUCACGUUUUCUGUCAUUUCAUCACUUGUUUUCUUUUUUGUUUGGUAUUGCCAUAGACCUCAAACAUCAAUUUGAUUGCUGCAAGAGAAGUGAAACUUAUUGAACAGAUGUAUAACGCGUACAUCUUAAAAGAGGCAUUAAAUGCGAUGCCACAGGCAGGUAAACAAAUCAAGAUUACCUCACGGCGCUUGUGAAGUUCCGUCAGAACUGCGUUCUGGCCCGAGUGCAGGUGCUUUCGCGGCAAAGCAAGCUUUACAGCAUUCCAUUGGUAUGGGGCUGCUGUAACCUCUUUUUGUUUGUUCAGUAAACUCUUACCUUAAACGUGUAAUAGGGGUCGAACCAAAAUCUGAUCGUACACGCCGUCAUCUGUCCACCUGGGCAACCUUACUCAGGGGAAGCGCCACAAGUUGACAAGGUUGCACAUGUGAAGCCCACGGUAAAUGAAGAAAUCCAACCUUUUCUCGUUUCGGCGCUUGCCACAAGCAACAAACCCCGCACUUUCCCAUUCUGUAGGCUAUUGAACCAGUUACUCUAGUGUUUGUCACUGGCAGAAAUACAAGCUGCCUGGCUUCACAACAGAGUCGCUAAUGGGCCCUGAUGCCGUGGUGAGGUGCCGCUGUCAUCGCGUCAGAAAGAACACGAGGAAAGCAAGAAGAAAACGCAUGUAUUAGACAGCAAAAUAUUUUUCUUUUACGUAGCAGUAGUACACUGAAAAGAAAAUCGCAGUUAUCGCCUUCAACUGAGCAGACAACGUCAGAAAAAGUUCAACACAAGAGAGACAAACUCUCCCUUACACUGAAGUCCCAGAACUCUUUUUCAGAGAUUUUGAGAGUUUGGGAACUGAGCGCGUUAUUUUUACUGCUGGUAUCUUCACUUCCUCUGUUUAGGGGAUUGUUUUUUUUUUUGUUAGCGCCGCUCACACCUAGCAUUUUUUUUUCAGUUUCAUCUGCUUUCAUUGGGUUAUCAGCUAUUGCGAGGGGCUCCUCAGUGCACACUGUGGUUGUUGUUAGAUUUCAUUCGAAACAUAAGUGUGAGGCCAGCCUCUGCUGCAGAAGGGAAAAAGUGGCUUUUCCACGUGUCUUUUCAUUGGUGUCAAGACACCAAGAAAGAUACUCAGAUUCUUUGUACUCGCGCGUUCAUCAUCUUUCCCCCCUUUUCCCUUUUGUGAGGGUACGAACGCGCACGAUUGAUGUAAAAGAAAGAGGAGCAGCAUUGACGGCCAAAAAAAAAGUGUACGGGGCAGACUACAUUUGUUUUGGAUCCUAUCUGCCCUCCAAAGUACAGGUUUUCUUUUUCUUUCGGAACGAGCUAGCGCGAACACCAGUGGAAAAGCUCUAAUCGUAUAUGUAGGCCUCCUAGUGGAAGCGAUGCGAACACAAAGUAAACAACGAUCAAAACGUCUGUAUUUGACGAUAAGGUUUCUGCCUUCUCGUACUAAUGCUUGAAAACACAUGAGUUAUUCGCCUUGUAUAUGUCUACGAGGGAGCAAUAUAUCACCUCCCCUUCAUUUGCUCGGUCACGGGCGUCUGAUGGAUUAGAUGCAAAAAGAGUUAACUGAGAAGUCAGCGAUGCAGCUCUUGCUUCCACUACAAACUCUGGUGUAGUGCUCAUUCUGCGAUGUACACCAAUUUUGCAGAUAUCACUCGCUUUUCAACGAUUCAUUGCCUAUGUACACGAGAAUCUAGCUGCCCGGGGUUUCUCUUUUGUCAACACGGGAUUUUGCCUCUUUACUAGUCUCUGUGAAAGAAAUGGAUACGUUUUCUGUGAAACUGCAUCAUGGUAGAGGUUUUCUUUGAAAGAGGCUACUUUAAAGACAGCAACAACAAAAAAACAGCAACUGGUAUUCUUCCUACCUUUUCUUGAAAUCUUUCGAAGUGAAGAUAAGAUCGCCAAUUGAUCGGAAACAGAAUGAAGAAGAUCGGUGUGCGAAAAAAAGAAGGGGAUGGAAUCUUACCAUGGCGUGCGCCUCCGAUUUUAAAUGUCAUCAUCACCCUUCUUCUAAUAUAGAUUCAAAGUAAUUAAAUCUUUCUCUUAUUUUCCUGCCACCCACCUACACACACCCUUGAGUUUAUGCCAG
rnacentral:misc_RNA from 1 species